GCUUGAAGCCGGGAGCAACAGGCAAACGGGAAGAGUGUGGUACCUUCAGGAUCCAUUUUUGUUCUGGACCAGAGACAGCAUGUUCCUGUCAGAUGCAUCGUAGAAGAUCUACUAUGAUUGUACCAUAGUUCCCAAGUUUCCUGUUCUUGCCACAAGCAGAACAAAACAAAACAAAACAGCAAAAAUGGCAUACCACUGAUACACAGGUCUAAUAUACUGGACCUUUCUGAUAAUUCUCCUAUCAUGAGUCAAGUAUCCACUUGUCUGAUGGACAAAGUGCAGUGCCUGCAUAGUCUUAACUCACCCUCAAGGUGAAGCCUGAUUUCAGCACCGGCAUGGGAUGAGAAAAUGCAUGUUCUUUUUAUAACAAAAACUUAUGCUUAGUUAGAUUUCCAUAUGCUCAAGAAUGAAGAAUAGAAUUAAUGUGGGGCCAAAAGAAUUUCUGCAUCAUAAGACAACACAGGGUUCAAGAGGGUGUAAAAACUGACGAUUCAGAUGCCUGAUGAGGUUCAGAAAUGUCUACAAGUUCAUAAAUCAAGUAAUUGGGUCAUUGCUACGAUUAGGAUUUCAACCAGAGUUGAAAGACUACUUCUAACCAUCAUAUUUUACUAUUAUUACUUUAUACACUUGGCCCAUUGCCAGAGGAGAGAGCAAAGACUUUUUAAAAACUGAUUUCUUCUAGUAUAGUUAGAGCAAGUUCAUAUUCAUACUCUUUUCAUUAAUAUACAUGUUUUUAAGACUACAAUUGUCAACCAUCUCAUGUGAAGGAAAACACAUGUCCACCUAUAAAAGUCACAGGAGUUACAUAGCAUAGUUUGAGGUGGCACUUUUUACUUUUUCUUCCAGGAGGCAUGUUAUAAACAUUUUAAGUGAAACAAAAUAGCAAACUCAGACUGUUUCAGACUAUUUCAGAAAAAAAAAAUCAAUUUAUCCCAAGGAGUAGUUAAUGAGAUUUCUCACCCUACAAAGAGACGUAUCCGAUAUAUAAAGGAAUGUAUACUCCAAAAAUGGGACUAGAGACUACAUAUCAAUUACUACUCCAAGUGGUUAAAUAUAGGAGAGAAAUUCCAGUACCCACAUGGAAUGAGAAAAUGCAUCUUCUCUUUAUGGACAAACACUUGGGAUUAGUUAGAUUUCCAUAUACUCGAGAAUGAAGAACAGAAUAAGUGUGGGGCCAAAAACAAUUUCUAUAUCAUAAACGAUAAACAACACAGGAUUCAAGAAGUUGUGGAAGGACAAAUUUUUGAAGCAAAAUACUUCAGCAAACAUGGGGAAAAUGGUUCAAAACAUUGGUUUUGUAGUUUUAAUGAAAUUCAGUAAAAUAU